rnacentral:lncRNA from 1 species
CGAGUUUUUGGUGCACUAAUGAAUGAGUUUUUUUAUUUUAUUUUUGUGACUUUGUGACUUUUCUUUCUUUUUCACAGUACCUCACUCACAAAUGCUUUUAUUUUUCACGUCUUUUUUUCUACUGGUUUAAUUUUCUUAUUUUUCUUUCAUUUUUUUGUUUUGCACUUUUAAACUAACCUAUAAUCACCAUACUACAAUGAUAUUUGC